AAAAGGGCUGAAACCAGUUCUAAGAUGAAGGAGUUUCAAGAGUUAUUUGGCUAUUUAUCCCUUUUGCCCUGCCUACACCAUAAUCACUUGGUUGGGCUAGUUGGAUUCUGUAAAGAGAAAGAUAAAAGGUUCUUGGUGUAUGAGUACAUGAAGAAUGGGGCGUUAUAUGAUCAUUUGCAUGACAAAAAGAAUGUGGACAAGGAGAGCAGUGUGUUGAAUUCUUGGAGAAUGAGGAUCAAGAUUGCUUUGGAUGCUUCCCGGGGAAUAGAACACCUUCAUAAAUAUGUAGUUCCAACUAUUAUUUACAGAGAUAUCAAGUCUUCCAACAUUCUUCUUGAUGCUAAUUGGACGGCAAGAGUAUCUGGUUUUGAAUCGUCGUGUUUCAUGAGUCCAGAAGCUGAGCAUGUUUACACGGAUAUGGUUACCGCAAAGAGGGAUGUGUACGGGCUUGGAGUUGUGCUGCUUGAACUUUUAACAGGAAAGAAAACUACAUUCAAGUAUGGGUCAUAUAGGUGCACACGUAUGGUGAACAUUGCACGACAUGUUAUUUUGGAUGGGAAAAUGGUGAACGUUUUGGAUCCAAGGGUUGGAGCACCCCAUGGAAAUGACGAAGCAGAGGCACUGGAAUUAGUGGCCCAUACAGCGGUCAAUUGUGUAAAUUUGAACAGGAAAGAUAGGCCAACUAUGACUGAGGUAGUGGCCAAUUUGGAGACAGCUUUAUCACUUGCCAGUGAUAACAGAAAAACAGACCAUUUGCACUAUUUAUGACAAUUUAAUCUUACACAAUGUAUAUACACAUGCCAUCACUCAUUAAAGUAUCAUGACGCUGAAUACUAACAUUUUUUGACAAUUUUUUUUUCCGGUAAAAGUUGGGGAUCCCUAGCAUUGCAGUAGUUAUUAGCAUGGUUAUCAAACUCAUUAACUCGGACGAGUUACAUUCCUAGUCAUAGCUUCUGAGUUAACUUGAAGGAAACUCGUUUUCCAACUAGAAUCGGUGGAAUCGUUCGAACUCGCGAGUUUGUAAUGGUUUGGCGAGUUCGAAAGAAGAAAAAUUUGAAGCCAAAUCAUAGUCGUUUGGAGGGGAAAAAUCACCUGGUUAGGGCUCCAAUCUUUUGAUAUUAAGCCCCUUCUUCUUCGUUCUCUGAGCUACAUCACCCUUUCGCCAUCGCGUCACUCCCUCUGGCCAUCGCACUCGCCGUCGACCAUCAUCUCGUAGCUGUCCUUGGUCGUGUCACCCUCGCGUCACUCUCUGUGCAAAGCUCCCAAACGGAGCCAUCGCCGACAUAGGCGCUGGUGGCACCACCUACGCCCUUCUGCUGGAUCGCGUGAGCUUAUUCUCGCUGUGUUUCCCUCCCAACAAAGGAAGUGAGGAGGUGCGGGGUGGCGCAGGAAAUGGGGAUAAAAGAUAGGAUUAUUUUUUUACUUUGGGAUAGAAUGGGUAUUAAAAAAAUUAGGGAGGUGCAGAAGAAAUAAAUGGGGUGCAAGAAGGGGCAGCCCCUCUCCAC
rnacentral:lncRNA from 1 species